rfam:Ictidomys tridecemlineatus contig026994, whole genome shotgun sequence.
GGGUGUAGAGCUCAGUGGUAAGAGCUCUUGCUUAGCAAUGCAAGAAGUCCUGGGUUUGCUCCCUAGUGCUGCUU